CAUGACACAACAAUUUGACCUCAAUGAGAAGAUGUGAGGAAAUAAGAAAAAAAGGGAAACGACAGUUUGGUGGCUGGAAAUGGCUGUAUUUACAGAGGGUGUCGCGUGUGUCGAUUUGCUUCUUUUGGUUGCUACAAGGGCCACCACUGGCAAUACCCAUAUCUUCUCGGCGUUAAGUGGGUAGGCCAUGAAUGUACUGAGCGUUUAUUUCGAAAGAGGCUUCUAGGCUAUUUGGCAAAGUCUAUAAGAGGUGUUAAUACUCAAACCGGGGAAGAAUGCAUUCUUAAGCUGAUCAUUUGAUUCUAAAUGAGCGUGUCAAUAAACGUAACACCGCUUUUCAUAUAGCCGCUAGGAAAUGCCGAUAAGAGGCUGUUAAAGUAAAAGGGGAAAGCUAAUCGUCUAUAAAGUGCAAUUCAUAUGUAGUAAGACAGGAUGCGCAACACUAGAGUCAGAAUAGGGAGCGGCAGAAGAUGCUAUAUUAGCUGGUGGCCAUACAGCUAGCUACAAACGGUUGUUGAAAAUGCAACUACAUUGAAGGUGCAUCUGCAAAUUGGGCAAAUGCCUUUGGAAUUGUACUCUCAUCAUAAAAUAAUUCACUAAUUGGUUCAUAAUCUUAGUUGGGAUAUACUUUUUUUACAUUUAUAAGUAACUUUUCUAUUUAUAUGAAUAGCACAUGAUGUGUUGGUCUGGUGGUUGGA